UAAUACGUAGGGUGCGAGCGUUAAUCGGAAUUACUGGGCGUAAAGCGUGCGCAGGCGGUUGUGUAAGACAGAUGUGAAAUCCCCGGGCUCAACCUGGGAACUGCGUUUGUGACUGCACAACUAGAGUACGGCAGAGGGAGGUGGAAUUCCGCGUGUAGCAGUGAAAUGCGUAGAGAUGCGGAGGAACACCGAUGGCGAAGGCAGCCUCCUGGGCCAGUACUGACGCUCAUGCACGAAAGCGUGGGAGCAAACAGGAUUAGAUACCCUGGUAGUCCACGCCCUAAACGAUGUCAACUAGUUGUUCGGUGAGGAGACUCAUUGAGUAACGCAGCUAACGCGUGAAGUUGACCGCCUGGGGAGUACGGCCGCAAGGUUAAAACUCAAAGGAAUUGACGGGGACCCGCACAAGCGGUGGAUGAUGUGGAUUAAUUCGAUGCAACGCGAAAAACCUUACCUACCCUUGACAUGCCAGGAACCUGCCAGAGAUGGCUUGGU
rnacentral:rRNA from 1 species